AUUAUAACUCUAAGCGGUGGAUCACUCGGCUCGUGUGUCGAUGAAGAGCGCAGCCAGCUGCGUGAAGUAAUGUGAAUUGCAGGACACAUUGAACAUCGAUAUCUUGAACGCA
rnacentral:rRNA from 1 species